UACAGAGGGUGCAAACGUUGCUCGGAAUCAUUGGGCGUAAAGGGCGCGUAGGCGGCCUGGCAAGUGACGGGUGAAAGCCCUCGGCUCAACCGAGGAACUGCCUGUCAUACUGCCGGGCUUGAGUCCGGGAGAGGUGAGUGGAAUUCCCAGUGUAGCGGUGAAAUGCGUAGAUAUUGGGAGGAACACCAGUGGCGAAGGCGGCUCACUGGACCGGAACUGACGCUGAGGCGCGAAAGCGUGGGGAGCAAACAGG
rnacentral:rRNA from 1 species